GAUGAAGAACGUAGCGAAAUGCGAUAAGUAGUGUGAAUUGCAGAAUUCAGUGAAUCAUCGAAUCUUUGAACGCACAUUUCGCCCCUUGGUAUCCCGAGGGGCAUGCCUGUUCGAGCGUCAUUUCACCACUCAAGCCUGGCUUGGUGUUGGGCGACGUCCUCUUUGGGGACGCGCCUCGAAACGCUCGGCGGCGUGGCACCGGCUUUAAGCGUAGCAGAAUCUUUCGCUUUGGAAGUCGGGGCCCCGUCUGCCGGAAGACCUGCUCGCAAGGUUGACCUCGGAUCAGGCAGGGAUACCCGCUGAACUUAAGCAUAUCAAUAAGCGGAGGA
rnacentral:misc_RNA from 1 species